UUUCAGGAUUAUUAGUGUUUUUAGGGUGACAGAUUCAGUGUUAUGUUACCUAGCAAAAACUUUUAACCGACUCUGUUAAUUUGUUUGCUAUGAAAGGCGUUUUAUUUUUCAAUAAAUCCGAGGUCGGUUUCUGCCUGAAAGAAAUGGUUCGUGAUUUUGGUUUAAAUUAUACAUUCAGUGUGCUGUAAGACGACUCGAGCUCAGUGGAGUGACUGGAUGAGUCAUGCUCAACAAUACAUGUGAAUACCUGCAAACUCUUUUUAUACAUCCAUUUUUUUUUUUUGGUUUAUCCUGAUAAAGGAAAACUUCCUCGUUCAUGUAACGUCAGUGAUGACGAUCUUUGCAGAGUUACGAUUGGAUCCUUGGAGAGGUUUGUAGCCAAUGAACUGCUUUAUAUUUCCCAAGACUUGUUGCUGGAUGGGGGUUUGCCAUUUUUCUGUGAUGGGCAGGCAUUAUGCGAGUUACAAAACCUACUGAAUGACUCAUGGAUGAUCUCAUCCCCCUGGAUGACGUCAGCAGUGUAUAUAUUUCAUAGUAUGUGGCAGCACGUGGUUUUGGAAUGCAUCCCAUCUAUCAUGCUUGUUUAGACCGUUGCAUGCAAUUGUUAUGGCCGUAAUUAAGCCGGAGAGAAUGAACGGCACCACAUUAAUGUGCAAAGUGUUCAGACACAGUGGCACACCUGGCGUUUGCGUGUUUGUGUGUUUGCACGUCUAGUCGUGCGUGAGUGCUGCGUCGGUGGAGCUAUGAAUGGGCAGAGUGGGGUGUUCUCUCUCUCUCUCUCUCUCACACACACCGUCACAGCUCUGGGAUGAGGAGUGCCAUCUACUCCACUGCAUGUCUGCUGUGCUGCUGAGAGGAAAGAAGACAAAGGGGGAGAGAAGGAGCAUUACAAGAAGACUUUUCAAAAGCACAAGGCCACUCUUUAGCACUGAGCUGGAACAAUCUCCACUCAGCCAUGGAGCAGAAGACAAAUGAGUGUCCCACCUCUACCUCUCCGCAGAAGCACAUGAAGAACAGGUCUAAAUCCACAGAGGAGAUGCAGCAGUCCAGGAAGGCAUUUUCCUCACAAAAGUCACUGCCAGGCAGGCCUGAUCUGGAGAAAGUGAAGGAGCGUCCCGAUGGCUCUGACACGCCUUCGUCCUCCACAGAAGAGCUGAAGUGACAAACAGCGUCAACAUCGAGCCACAAAGUUGCGCAUAUAAAAUGUGUCAACAAAGAAAGUGCUGAACAUUUAUGAUCAUAGGUGGCUAGAAUCUACUCAAGCUGUGAAUUUCAUGCUGACUCCACCUUAUCGAAAGUCCACAUCUGAUGAAGCUGUGUCAUUGUGCUGUGACUGAUAUAUACAUGUGUGUAGUAAAAGUAAAGCGAUGUUGUUGGAUA